rnacentral:rRNA from 1 species
GACGAACGCUGGCGGCGUGCUUAACACAUGCAAGUCGAACGGAAAGGCCCUGCUUUUGUGGGGUGCUCGAGUGGCGAACGGGUGAGUAACACGUGAGUAACCUGCCCUUGACUUUGGGAUAACUUCAGGAAACUGGGGCUAAUACCGGAUAGGAGCUCCUGCUGCAUGGUGGGGGUUGGAAAGUUUCGGCGGUUGGGGAUGGACUCGCGGCUUAUCAGCUUGUUGGUGGGGUAGUGGCUUACCAAGGCUUUGACGGGUAGCCGGCCUGAGAGGGUGACCGGCCACAUUGGGACUGAGAUACGGCCCAGACUCCUACGGGAGGCAGCAGUGGGGAAUAUUGCACAAUGGGCGGAAGCCUGAUGCAGCAACGCCGCGUGCGGGAUGACGGCCUUCGGGUUGUAAACCGCUUUCGCCUGUGACGAAGCGUGAGUGACGGUAAUGGGUAAAGAAGCACCGGCUAACUACGUGCCAGCAGCCGCGGUGAUACGUAGGGUGCGAGCGUUGUCCGGAUUUAUUGGGCGUAAAGGGCUCGUAGGUGGUUGAUCGCGUCGGAAGUGUAAUCUUGGGGCUUAACCCUGAGCGUGCUUUCGAUACGGGUUGACUUGAGGAAGGUAGGGGAGAAUGGAAUUCCUGGUGGAGCGGUGGAAUGCGCAGAUAUCAGGAGGAACACCAGUGGCGAAGGCGGUUCUCUGGGCCUUUCCUGACGCUGAGGAGCGAAAGCGUGGGGAGCGAACAGGCUUAGAUACCCUGGUAGUCCACGCUGUAAACGGUGGGUACUAGGUGUGGGGUCCAUUCCACGGGUUCCGUGCCGUAGCUAACGCUUUAAGUACCCCGCCUGGGGAGUACGGCCGCAAGGCUAAAACUCAAAGGAAUUGACGGGGCCCCGCACAAGCGGCGGAGCAUGCGGAUUAAUUCGAUGCAACGCGUAGAACCUUACCUGGGUUUGACAAGGAUCGGGAGUGCUCAGAGAUGGGUGUGCCUCUUUUGGGGUCGGUUCACAGGUGGUGCAUGGCUGUCGUCAGCUCGUGUCGUGAGAUGUUGGGUUAAGUCCCGCAACGAGCGCAACCCUUGUUCACUGUUGCCAGCACGUUAUGGUGGGGACUCAGUGGAGACCGCCGGGGUCAACUCGGAGGAAGGUGGGGAUGACGUCAAGUCAUCAUGCCCCUUAUGUCCAGGGCUUCACGCAUGCUACAAUGGCUGGUACAGAGAGUGGCGAGCCUGUGAGGGUGAGCGAAUCUCGGAAAGCCGGUCUCAGUUCGGAUUGGGGUCUGCAACUCGACCUCAUGAAGUCGGAGUCGCUAGUAAUCGCAGAUCAGCAACGCUGCGGUGAAUAAAUUCCCCGGGGCU